rnacentral:rRNA from 1 species
GACGAACGCUGGCGGCGUGCUUAACACAUGCAAGUCGAACGGUGAUCCUUGGUGCUUGCACCUUGGUGAUCAGUGGCGAACGGGUGAGUAACACGUGAGUAACCUGCCCCAGACUCUGGAAUAACCCCGGGAAACCGGAGCUAAUACCGGAUAUGACAUCAGGCCGCAUGGUCAUGGUGUGGAAAGUUUUUCGGUCUGGGAUGGACUCGCGGCCUAUCAGCUUGUUGGUGAGGUAAUGGCUCACCAAGGCGACGACGGGUAGCCGGCCUGAGUGGGCGACCGGCCACACUGGGACUGAGACACGGCCCAGACUCCUACGGGAGGCAGCAGUGGGGAAUAUUGCACAAUGGGCGAAAGCCUGAUGCAGCGACGCCGCGUGAGGGAUGACGGCCUUCGGGUUGUAAACCUCUUUCAGUAGGGAAGAAGCGAAAGUGACGGUACCUGCAGAAAAAGCACCGGCUAACUACGUGCCAGCAGCCGCAGUAAUAC